GGGUGGCCGCCCGGCCCGGUGAAGUACUCCACGUGCUGGGUGGAGUCGGCGCUCUUGGUGCCGGAGGAGCGCGGUUCCGGUUCCGCGGUCGCGCCC
rnacentral:tRNA from 1 species